GGGGAUAUAGCUCAGUUGGUAGAGUGCUUGCCUUCUUGCAUGCAGAAGGCCCUGGGUUCGAUCCCCAGCAACAUUA
rnacentral:tRNA from 1 species